CCUACGGGUGGCUGCAGUGGGGAAUAUUGGACAAUGGGGGGAACCCUGAUCCAGCCAUGCCGCGUGUGUGAAGAAGGCCCUCGGGUUGUAAAGCACUUUCAGUGAGGAAGAACGCCUGGUGGUUAAUACCCAUCAGGAAAGACAUCACUCACAGAAGAAGCACCGGCUAACUCCGUGCCAGCAGCCGCGGUAAUACGGAGGGUGCGAGCGUUAAUCGGAAUUACUGGGCGUAAAGCGCGCGUAGGUGGCUUGAUAAGCCGGUUGUGAAAGCCCCGGGCUCAACCUGGGAACGGCAUCCGGAACUGUCAAGCAAGGGGGGAGGAGAGGAAGGUAGACGCACCGGGGUAGCGGGGAUAUGGGAGGAGAUAGGGAGGAAAACAGGUGGCGAGGGGGGCCUUCUGGACUGGCACUAACCCUGAGGUGCGAAAGCGUGGGUAGCAACCAGAAUUAGAUCCCCGUGUAGUC
rnacentral:rRNA from 1 species